CAGACAUCGUGCGAGAAGCGCUCCUGGCCAGGGGCUCGGGAAAACCACGGCGAACAAACACCCGCGCGGGUCCUUCUGCUGGCGGAGGCAGGAGGGGGGGAAAUAUCUACGGAUUUACAGCCACCCGGCUCCUCCACGGCUGAAAAGAGCCAUGCUUGCUCCUGGAGAGAGGCCAAGCCUGGAAAACUUAAGUCUGAAAGGAGAAAGUUUGGGGAAUUUAUGAAUAUGCCUGGUGUCUGUCAUGGUAAAAAAAUUUAAAAAAAAAAUAACGAAACAAUAAAAGGAUUUUCAUUAGUCACAAUUGAAUCUGAGCUUUGUAUUCAAGAAAGGAAACGUCUCCAUCAUCUCCUCUGAUGUCACCCUGGAGAGAAGAUUAGAAGAUUAACUGUGUCAGGUGACACCAACCCAGCGGCAGUGAAAAUAAUUUUGCACGUUCAAAGAGAGAACGAGGGAGAAAUUCCGCCUGUCUCCAAGAAGUCUUACUGGUGACAAUUGUUGGCUCGCAAACAGCACAUUUUAUGCAAAUGUGCAGAUAUACAGUAAAUAAAAUAAGAAGAUCAAAGACUUGGAGGAGGAUUUAUCUUAAAGAAGUGGAUGGUCUGAAUCUGAGUGGCAUUUUAGCCUCAUCUAAUUUAUAAGCAGUUGCAUUUUGAGGAAAUAAGUCAAAAAAGGCCAUUGAAAUUAUGUGAGGAAAUAUAAAAGCUACAAAUAGAGGAUAAAAUUGACUCAUGAGCCAUCACUGUUGUUGCUGGCAAUGUCUCCUAACACACCUGAUACCAAAAUGAGUAUGUGCCCUCGAGUCCACCUAGCCUGGUGCUCAAGGGACUGCACAAGCAGUCAGAAAAGGUGAGUGUGACUGCAGGAACCUGGCUUUCAGCAUCUGCUGAUACAAGCACACAGCUCAUUGCUGGCAGGCUCUGCAGGACUCACCCAGAACAGGAGGAUUGAGGCAGAAUCUGUUUUCCCAUUGAUACGUGGCAGAUUUUCAUGCACAACCGCAAUUAGCAUUAAUGGGAUUUCCUUCUGCAGACGUUCCAGGUGUUAUUGAAGAGCCUCAUGGUGAACAUAAAAAGCAAAAACGAAAUUAUACAAUUAGGUCGGAUCUUGCUGUUUCUGGUUUUAAUGGCAUUAUUGCGGUUUAUUUCGUCGGGAUUGAGUCUUGCACAGCUGAGUGUAGCUGCAUUCGCUCUGCACAGAUCUCGUGGAAAAGGGAGUGUUGAGCUCUGAAUGUAAAUAUUAUGGUAUCAAGUGGUGGGUUUGAAGAGAAGGUGAGAGUCUUGCAAACCUGAUUUGGCAGCUGCAAAAAUAACACUUGGGCAAACAGAUGGUCUCUGCAAUAAGGGAAGUCUUUAAAAGAUUCACAAAUUAAUGAGCUCUGCCAGGUUUUUAGUGGUUCCUACCAAAAUUCCUAUAAAUCAGCCAACCGGGCAGGAAGGUGGGGGCGGGAGGAAUCAAUAAGUUCCCCGGACAGCUCGUAUAUCCAAGGUUAGCUGACAAAAAGGCUUCAGAGCUGGAAAAUCCCAAGAGGAAUUAAGGAGGUGCAAUAUUAUCCCUUCAGAAGGCAAAAGCCACAGCGUCAGUCAUGUGCUGUGAGUGCUCUGGGGACUAAUUGCAGCCGUCCGUGAUCAAGGAUAUCGGCUGGGUGAUAAAGAAAGGUGAGGUGUCACACACUGAAUUAUUGGCUCAUCCUGGGAGCACCAAAACUUGGUGUGAGGAAAUGAAAGCCUCCUCCUUCAGCUGCAGGUCAAUAACCACUGAUGUGCUCCUCCAAAGCAGCUGCUGGCUCCACAGCACUGGGUGCAGGCCUGCCGGGCAAGGAGACAGAAUUAAUUAAGGAAUUGCUAAUGGAAUCAGAGCUGAACAGCAGGGGAAAUUAUUCAUUAGGUUAUCUAUGAAUUUUGUACCGUGGCGCAAUACGAUCCACUUUACAACCCACUUUCAUUUGCUUCUUUGCAAACAUUUGUCAAGGGUGCCUGACAGCAGGAACGACCAGGGAGGAGUUUUCAUUCUUAGUCAUGUGGGGACGCCUCCUUCUUACAAUAAA